rnacentral:lncRNA from 1 species
UUUGGCUCGUUUAAUUUUCAUAAAAUUUUGUUAAAGUAUUUACUUUGACACUUUAACAAAAAUAUAAAAAUUUUAAAAAUUUUGAACCAACCGUUUUGUCAGAAAAAUUACACUAGUUAUAUAGCAAUUUGACAACCACCAAUUUUGAUCAUUGAGAAGUUUAAUAUUCCUUUUACAACACAACGUAAUUAAAACGUUUAGCUGACUUUACAGAGUUAUCUCCCUGUAGUGUUAGGUACCACCUUAAGG